rnacentral:rRNA from 1 species
GACGUAGGGCGCGAGCGUUGUCCGGAUUUAUUGGGCGUAAAGAGCUCGUAGGCGGCUUGUUGCGUCGACUGUGAAAACCCGCGGCUUAACUGCGGGCUUGCAGUUGAUACGGGCAGGCUAGAGUUCGGUAGGGGAGACUGGAAUUCCUGGUGUAGCGGUGAAAUGCGCAGAUAUCAGGAGGAACACCCGUGGCGAAGGCGGCUCUCUGGGACGGUACUGACGCUGAGACGCGAAAGCGUGGGGAGCGAACAGG